GUAGGGUGCAAGCGUUAAUCGGAAUUACUGGGCGUAAAGAGUGCGCAGGCGGUUUUGCAAGACCGAUGUGAAAUCCCCGGGCUUAACCUGGGAACUGCAUUGGUGACUGCAAGGCUAGAGUGUGUCAGAGGGAGGUGGAAUUCCGCAUGUAGCAGUGAAAUGCGUAGAUAUGCGGAGGAACACCGAUGGCGAAGGCAGCCUCCUGGGAUAACACUGACGCUCAUGCACGAAAGCGUGGGGAGCAAACAGGAUUAGAUACCCUGGUAGUCCACGCCCUAAACGAUGUCUACUAGUUGUCGGGGAUUAAUUUCCUUGGUAACGCAGCUAACGCGUGAAGUAGACCGCCUGGGGAGU
rnacentral:rRNA from 1 species